rnacentral:rRNA from 1 species
GUCUCUUUGAAAAUUUAAUAAUAAAGAGUUUGGCCUGCUCAGUGAGAUUUUUAACAGCUGCGGUAUUAUAACUGUACUAAGGUAGCAUAAUAAUUUGCCUUAUAAAUUAAGGCUAGAAUGAAUGGUUUGACGAAAAUUAUACUGUCUCUAUUUUAAUUAAUAGAAAUUAAUUUUUAUAGUGAAAAAGCUUAGAUAAUUUAAAGGGACGAGAAGACCCUAUUGAGCUUUAUAUUAGUUAUAAUAAAUAAUAAAAAUAUAAUUUAUUUGGUUAAAUUAGUAUUAUAUUAAUAAUAUUUAUUAUGUUUAAUUUUGAUUGGGGUGAUCAAGGAAUAAAGUGGAUAUUAUUUAACUUCCUUAAAAUUUAAUUUUUUUAGAAUAAUUAACCAAUGAUAUUGCUUAUAUGAUAAGUUACCAUAGGGAUAACAGCGUAAUUUUUUUGGAGAGUUCAUAUUAAAAAAAGAGAUUGCGACCUCGAUGUUGGAUUAAAAUAACCAUAAGGUGAAGAGGCUUUAUUUGGUGAAUCUGUUCGAUUUUUAAAAUUUU